rnacentral:rRNA from 1 species
CCUACGGGAGGCAGCAGUGGGGAAUAUUGCACAAUGGGCGCAAGCCUGAUGCAGCCAUGCCGCGUGUGUGAAGAAGGCCUUCGGGUUGUAAAGCACUUUCAGUCAGGAGGAAAGGUUGGUAGUUAAUAGCUACCAGCUGUGACGUUACUGACAGAAGAAGCACCGGCUAACUCCGUGCCAGCAGCCGCGGUAAUACGGAGGGUGCGAGCGUUAAUCGGAAUUACUGGGCGUAAAGCGUACGCAGGCGGUUUGUUAAGCGAGAUGUGAAAGCCCCGGGCUCAACCUGGGAACUGCAUUUCGAACUGGCAGACUAGAGUGUGAUAGAGGGUGGUAGAAUUUCAGGUGUAGCGGUGAAAUGCGUAGAGAUCUGAAGGAAUACCGAUGGCGAAGGCAGCCACCUGGGUCAACACUGACGCUCAUGUACGAAAGCGUGGGGAGCAAACGGGAUUAGAUACCCCGGUAGUCCACGCCGUAAACGAUGUCUACUAGAAGCUGGGGUCUUCGGACAACUUUUUCAAAGCUAACGCAUUAAGUAGACCGCCUGGGGAGUACGGCCGCAAGG